CGCCUCCCACGGUGCCGAAGCCCCCGGGCUCCUACUAAGGUGUUGCUGUGGAGACGGGGCGUCGAGCCCCACUCCCGAGACGGGAUUGGAGGAGAGCUGGUCACCUGACGUUGAUGAGAUGGAGGCACAGAACAGAGUUUAAGCGACCUGCCUGAGGUCACACACCCCUGAAGGGGCACAGCUGGGGUUGGGACUCGGGCAGCCCGGCUCCCCAAGUCAGGAGAGUGGUCUCAACUGCUGUGGAGGAACAAACCGACUCACCCCCGAACGAGCUGCGUGAAAAGGAAGGAGGAGCCACGUGGAAACUGGAGCUCGGGAUGUGAAUAACCUGUCGGGUGGGCGCACAGGCUCUGCGGAAUCCCGAGGG